UUAAGCAUAUCAAUAAGCGGAGGAAAAGAAACCAACAGGGAUUGCCCUAGUAACGGCGAGUGAAGCGGCAACAGCUCAAAUUUGAAAUCUGGCUCUUUUAGGGUCCGAGUUGUAAUUUGCAGAGGGCGCUUUGGCGUUGGGAGCGGUCCAAGUUCUUUGGAACAGGACGUCACAGAGGGUGAGAAUCCCGUACGUGGUCGCUAUCCUUCGCCGUGUAAAGCCCCUUCGACGAGUCGAGUUGUUUGGGAAUGCAGCUCUAAAUGGGAGGUAAAUUUCUUCUAAAGCUAAAUACUGGCCAGAGACCGAUAGCGCACAAGUAGAGUGAUCGAAAGAUGAAAAGCACUUUGGAAAGAGAGUCAAAUAGCACGUGAAAUUGUUGAAAGGGAAGCGCUUGCAGCCAGACUUGCCUGUAGUUGCUUAUCUGGACUUUUGUCCAGUGCACUCUUCUGCGGGCAGGCCAGCAUCAGUUUGGGCGGUUGGAUAAAGGUCUCUGUCAUGUACCUCCUUUCGGGGAGGCCUUAUAGGGGAGGCGACAUGCAACCAGCCUGGACUGAGGUCCGCGCAUCUGCUAGGAUGCUGGCGUAAUGGCUGUAAGCGGCCCGUCUUGAAACACGGACCAAGGAGUCUAACAUCUAUGCGAGUGUUUGGGUGUCAAGCCCAGACGCGUAAUGAAAGUGAACGGAGGUGGGAACCUUUUAGGUGCACCAUCGACCGAUCCUGAUGUCUUCGGAAGGAUUUGAGUAAGAGCAUAGCUGUUGGGACCCGAAAGAUGGUGAAMUAUGCUUGAAUAGGGUGAAGCCAGAGGAAACUCUGGUGGAGGYUAMACAGCGGUUCUGACGUGCAAAUCGAUCGUCAAAUUUGGCAUAGGGCGAAAGACUAAUCG
rnacentral:rRNA from 1 species